rnacentral:rRNA from 1 species
UACAGAGGUCUCUAGCGUUGUUCGGAUUUACUGGGCGUAAAGGGAGCGUAGGCGGUUUGGUGUGUCGAAUGUGAAAGCCCGCAACUCAACUGCGGAAUGGCAUUCGAAACUACCAGACUAGAGUACUGGAGAGGAGAGCGGAAUUCUUGGUGUAGCGGUGAAAUGCGUAGAUAUCAAGAGGAACACCGGUGGCGAAGGCGGCUCUCUGGACAGAUACUGACGCUGAGGCUCUAAAGUUAGGGGAGCAAACAGG